UCCUACGGGAGGCAGCAGUGGGGAAUAUUGGACAAUGGGGGGAACCCUGAUCCAGCCAUGCCGCGUGUGUGAAGAAGGCCCUCGAGUUGUAAAGCACUUUCAGCGAGGAAGAACGCCUAGCGGUUAAUACCCGCUAGGAAAGACAUCACUCGCAGAAGAAGCACCGGCUAACUCCGUGCCAGCAGCCGCGGUAAUACGGAGGGUGCAAGCGUUAAUCGGAAUUACUGGGCGUAAAGCGCGCGUAGGUGGCUUGAUAAGCCGGUUGUGAAAGCCCCGGGCUCAACCUGGGAACGGCAUCCGGAACUGUCAAGCUAGAGUGCAGGAGAGGAAGGUAGAAUUCCCGGUGUAGCGGUGAAAUGCGUAGAGAUCGGGAGGAAUACCAGUGGCGAAGGCGGCCUUCUGGACUGACACUGACACUGAGGUGCGAAAGCGUGGGUAGCAAACAGGAUUAGAUACCCUGGUAGUCCACGCCGUAAACGAUGUCGACCAGCCGUUGGGUGCCUAGCGCACUUUGUGGCGAAGUUAACGCGAUAAGUCGACCGCCUGGGGAGUACGGCCGCAAGGUUAAAACUCAAAUGAAUUGACGG
rnacentral:rRNA from 1 species